GUAGGUCACCCUAAUCAUAGAUUAUUAAUCAAGUAGAUGUCCCACUUGGAAGUUGCUCCAUAUACCUAGUUGGCGACACCCCUUUAGCGCUCUGCGCGCCGCCAUCGUCAAUUUACAGGUACUAAAUUGGAAAACAAAAUCAUAGUACUCUUUGCACUUGCCUGUAGAAAAAUUGUUUUGUUUUUGACAAAGUGUCACCAAGUUUGGUUCAACACGUCCUUUAAUAAAUUAUUUCUGUAAAUUACCUUUUUAAAUCCCAAAACACAUGAAAAGAUCGGCUACCAGGUGUGUACUCUAGCAGGGCAAGUAGCAGUGGCAGCAGCAGUAAAAAAUCCGACUAAAAUAAAAGAACCGGAAAGGGAGGAAAUGACUCUCUUCAAGCCGAACACGGCCAGUUCCCACUCAAUGCCGAAACCUCUGCGGGUUUGCACCACUCCCCCGGCCAGGUAAAAAAGACUCGAGUGGUGGCAACGAAGACAAAAAGAACUUUAUGUAAAACUUUUACCAAAAUGCAGCGCAAGAAUAGACAAAUAAAUCUAACGCUAAUCCCGCCAUUCAAGUGCAUAAGAUUUAAAGAGGCCACCUCCGACUUUUAAACUACCUGGCUGACAUUGAACCGCAAGAAUAAUCUUUUGCGUUGGGAAAAAUUCUGGAGCUGCUCCAAAAUCUAGACAAAUAAAAUUUAAUCAGCAUGUAGGUGUAUGAUAUCCUU